UUUUCUUCCUUGUUAUAUUUUUCUCUACCGUCUCUGCGUAAAAUUAUCUGUGUCUCCUUUCUCACACACACAACUUCUUUACCUCUCCCCUCUUUAUUACAGAUUUAUUCAUAUUCAGAUCCUAACACAGAUCCUAACAGCUCAACCAACAAAGCUCCAUUAAACUCAGCAAAGAUGCUCUCUUCCUAUUUGCAUCUGCCGCCGGCCUAAAAAUUAUGUAUUGCUCUUAAAAUCGACUGUGGAUUUCAUCUUCAAAUGUUUGGAUCUAGAUCGUUGCAACAACAAUCUGCAAAGCUAUCGUCUUGUUUGAGGGAUUAUGACCAACUGUUCUAAAACUUUGCUCAGUAGGUAUAUGAGGUUGGACUUUCUAUUUGUUCCAUUGAUCCUUCUCAUAAGUUCAUUUGGUCUAAUGAAUAUGGAGUUUGGGUUGAUGAGUUUGAAGCCAAGGAUGCAAACUCCACUGUGGUUUGCAGUGUGCAAGUGGAUAUCGAUCACAUGUUGUACACGUGGAUAUAAUAAUCUAACUGUACAUGUGGAUAAUAAUACAAUAUGUGUACACCACAUAAUACAGUAUGUGUACACUUGAUAGUUCUUACAUGUUCUUGUGUACUAAAAAUUUGAACUACAAUCAAUCUAGAUAUCAUAAUAGAUAUAACACUUAUGUACAUCUACUCCAAAAACUUUCAUUUAUCCAAAGUACAUAUAUGUACAUGUUCUUGUGUACUAAAAAAUAUGUGGACAUCGUUUCGUGUACACGUGGAUAACGUUACACGUCGAUCA